rnacentral:tRNA from 2 species
CAAAGUGUAGCUUAAAAUAAAAGCAUCCGGCCUACGCCCGGAAGAUUUCAAACUAAUGACCACUUUGA